rnacentral:rRNA from 1 species
AUUGAACGCUGGCGGCAUGCUUUACACAUGCAAGUCGAACGGCAGCGCGGGCUUCGGCCUGGCGGCGAGUGGCGAACGGGUGAGUAAUACAUCGGAACGUGACCAGUAGUGGGGGAUAGCUCGGCGAAAGACGGAUUAAUACCGCAUACGACCUGAGGGUGAAAGGGGGGGAUCUUCGGACCUCGCGCUAUGGGAGGGGCCGAUGGGAGAUUAGCUAGUUGGUGGGGUAAAGGCCUACCAAGGCGACGAUCUGUAGCUGGUCUGAGAGGACGACCAGCCACACUGGGACUGAGACACGGCCCAGACUCCUACGGGAGGCAGCAGUGGGGAAUUUUGGACAAUGGGCGAAAGCCUGAUCCAGCAAUGCCGCGUGUGUGAUGAAGGCCUUCGGGUUGUAAAGCACUUUUGGCGGGAACGAAAAGGACUGUGCCAAUACCACGGUUCGAUGACGGUACCCGCAGAAUAAGCACCGGCUAACUACGUG